GAUGAACGCUAGCGGGAGGCUUAACACAUGCAAGUCGGAGGGGCAGCACGAGGUAGCAAUACUUUGGUGGCGACCGGCGCACGGGUGAGUAACGCGUAUGCAACCUACCCUGUACGAGGGGGAUAGCCCGGAGAAAUUCGGAUUAACUACCCCAUAAUGAUAUCGAGAGGCAUCUUUUGAUAUUUAAAGUUUCGGCGGUACGGGAUGGGCAUGCGUGACAUUAGCUAGUUGGUAGGGUAAAGGCCUACCAAGGCGACGAUCUAUAGCUGGUCUGAGAGGACGAUCAGCCACACUGGGACUGAGACACGGCCCAGACUCCUACGGGAGGCUG
rnacentral:rRNA from 1 species